AUUCUGCUUGGGAUCCUCUGAACUUCUUGGAUCUGUGCUUUGAUUUCUUUCAUUAUGUUUGGAAAAUUUGCAGUCAUUUUUUUUCAAAUAUUUCCUCUGCCUCAUUCUGUCUUCUUCUUGGAUUUCAAUUACACAGCUCCAAACGAGAAUGGAAGCCGCUGGAGGACCGUAGCUGCACAGACAUACCAUGGCUGCUGCUCUUCAUUCUCUUCUGCAUUGGGAUGGCCCCUGCUGCCUUCUGUGUCUACUGUAAUGAGUGGCAUCUUUCGAUUGGAGAUGAAGGGACCUGGUGGUUUUCCAAUGGCCCCUGCUGCCUGCUGUGUCUACUGUAAUGAGUGACAUCUUUCAAUUAGAGAUCAAGGGACCUGGUGAUUUUCCAGUGGGUAUAGAGAAUGGAGGAGCAGAGUUGCUGGUACAAGGGAUUUAUUUGUGGCUUUUCAAUAGCAACAGGUGCAGCAGCAAGACUAGUGUCAGGAUACGACAGCUAUGGAAAUAUCUGUGGGCAGAAAAAUACAAAGUUGGAAGCAAUACCAAACAGUGGCAUGGACCACACCCAGCGGAAGUAUGUAUUCUUUUUGGAUCCAUGC
rnacentral:sRNA from 1 species